UACGGGGGGAGCAAGCGUUGUUCGGAUUUACUGGGCGUAAAGGGCGCGUAGGCGGUCGUGACAAGUCACUUGUGAAAUCUCCGGGCUUAACUCGGAACGGUCAAGUGAUACUGUCGGACUAGAGUACAGAAGGGGCAACUGGAAUUCUCGGUGUAGCGGUGAAAUGCGUAGAUAUCGAGAGGAACACCUGCGGCGAAGGCGGGUUGCUGGGCUGAUACUGACGCUGAGGCGCGAAAGCCAGGGGAGCGAACGGGAUUAGACGUACC
rnacentral:rRNA from 1 species